AUCCAGCCGACGAGUCCCAAAUAGGACGAAACGCUCGUCCGGGAU
rfam:Schistosoma rodhaini strain Burundi genome assembly, scaffold: SROB_scaffold0000002